rnacentral:rRNA from 1 species
CUAGGUUUGAUCCAGCUCAGAUGACGCUAGUGCUGCUUAAUACAUGCAAGUCGGUGGGCAGCAGGUGUAGCAAUACCCCGCUGGCGACCGGCAAACGGUUGCGGNAACACGUACGCAACCUUCCUUUAACUUGGAGAAUAGCCCCCUCGAAAGAUGGAUUAAUACUCCGUAACAUAUAAAUGUGGCAUCACAAUUAUAUUAUAGCUCCUGCGGUUAAAGAUGGGCGUGCGCCUGAUUAGAUAGUUGGUGAGGUCACGGCUCACCAAGUCUGCGAUCAGUAACUGGUGUGAGAGCACGACCAGUCACACGGGCACUGAGACACGGGCCCGACUCCUACGGAAGGCAGCAGUAAGGAAUAUUGGUCAAUGGACGCAAGUCUGAACCAGCCAUGCCGCGUGGAGGAUUAAGGCCCCCUGGGUUGUAAACUCCUUUUAUCUGGGAAGAAAUGCAUUUUUUCUAAAGUGCUUGACGGUACCAGAGGAAUAAGCACCGGCUAACUCCGUGCCAGCAGCCGCGGUAAUACGGAGGGUGCAAGCGUUAUCCGGAUUCACUGGGUUUAAAGGGUGCGUAGGCGGGCAGGUAAGCCCGUGGUGAAAUCUCUGAGCUUAACUCAGAAACUGCCAUGGAUACUAUUUGUCUUGAAUAUUGUGGAGGUAAGCGGAAUAUGUCAUGUAGCGGUGAAAUGCUUAGAUAUGACAUAGAACACCAAUUGCGAAGGCAGCUUACUACGCAGUUAUUGACGCUGAGGCACGAAAGCGUGGGGAUCAAACAGGAUUAGAUACCCUGGUAGUC